rnacentral:rRNA from 1 species
GGUCCUAUGGUGGAGUGUAGGAUUUGGCCUGCCCAAUGAUUUAUAAUUUAAUGGCCGCGGUAAUUUGACCGUGCAAAGGUAGCAUAAUCAUUAGUCCUUUAAUUGAGGUCUGGGAUGAAGGGUUGGACGAGGGGAAGGCUGUCUGAUAUUAAUUUUAUUUUGAAUUUUACUUUUGAGUGAAAAGGCUUAAAUUUUCUUGGAAGACGAUAAGACCCUAUAGAUCUUGAUACACCAUGGGUUAUUAAGAAAUUUAGUGUGUGUUUGGUUGGGGCGACCGGGAGAAAGGAAUAACUCUCUUGAAAUAAUGCUUACUUAUGGGUGUGUUAGGUUUAGUGUGAUCCAUUAUGUUUUGAUUAGUAGAUUAAGUUACCUUAGGGAUAACAGCGUAAUCCUUUUUGAGAGUUCUUAUCGACAGAAGGGUUUGCGACCUCGAUGUUGGACUAAGGGAUUUCUGUGGUGUAGAAGCUACGGAGGAGGGUCUGUUCGACCUUUGAUUCCUUACA